CUCUUAUCCAAGGAAAGAAGAUCCUGAACGGUACUUGAUGAAUAAGCCACGGCUAAUUCCGUUGCAGCAGCGCGGUAAUACGGGAGUGGCAGCGUUAUCCGGAAUAUUGGCGUAAAGCGUCCGCAGGCGGCCUUCAAGUCUGCUGUAAAAAGUGGAGCUUAACUCCAUCAUGGCAGUGGAAACUGUUGGGCUUGAGUGUGGUAGGGGCAGAGGGAAUUCCCGGUGUAGCGGUGAAAUGCGUAGAUAUCGGGAAGAACACCAGUGGCGAAGGCGCUCUGCUGGGCCAUCACUGACGCUCAUGGACGAAAGCCAGGGGAGCGAAAGGGAUUAGAUACCCCUGUAGUCCUGGCCGUAAACGAUGAACACUAGGUGUCGGGGGAAUCGACCCCCUCGGUGUCGUAGCCAACGCGUUAAGUGUUCCGCCUGGGGAGUACGCACGCAAGUGUGAAACUCAAAGGAAUUGACGGGGGCCCGCACAAGCGGCGGAGUAUGUGGUUUAAUUCGAUGCAACGCGAAGAACCUUACCAGGGUUUGACAUCCUGCGAAUCUCUUGGAAACAGGAGAGUGCCUUCGGGAACGCAGUGACAGGUGGUGCAUGGCUGUCGUCAGCUCGUGUCGUGAGAUGUUGGGUUAAGUCCCGCAACGAGCGCAACCUACGUCUUUAGUUGCCAGCAUUUAGUUGGGCACUCUAGAGAGACUGCCGGUGAUAAACCGGAGGAAGGUGUGGAUGACGUCAAGUCAUCAUGCCCCUUACAUCCUGGGCUACACACGUACUACAAUGCUACGGACAAAGGGCAGCAAGUUCGCGAGGACAAGCAAAUCCCAUAAACCGUGGCUCAGUUCAGAUCGUAGGCUGCAACUCGCCUACGUGAAGGCGGAAUCGCUAGUAAUCGCAGGUCAGCAUACUGCGGUGAAUACGUUCCCGGGCCUUGUACACACCGCCCGUCACACCAUGGAAGUUGGCCACGCCCGAAGCCGUUACUCCAACCCUUG
rnacentral:rRNA from 1 species